rnacentral:rRNA from 1 species
CCUACGGGCGGCAGCAGUGAGGAAUAUUGGUCAAUGGGCGCGAGCCUGAACCAGCCAAGUCGCGUGAGGGAAGACGGUCCUAUGGAUUGUAAACCUCUUUUGUCGGGGAGCAAAAGACGCCACGCGUGGCGUUCCGAGAGUACCCGAAGAAAAAGCAUCGGCUAACUCCGUGCCAGCAGCCGCGGUAAUACGGAGGAUGCGAGCGUUAUCCGGCUUUAUUGGGUUUAAAGGGUGCGCAGGCGGAAGAUCAAGUCAGCGGUAAAAUUGAGAGGCUCAACCUCUUCGAGCCGUGGAAACUGGUUGUCUUGAGUGAGCGAGAAGUAGGCGGAAUGCGUGGUGUAGCGGUGAAAUGCAUAGAUAUCACGCAGAACUCCGAUUGCGAAGGCAGCAUACCGGCGCUCAACUGACGCUCAUGCACGAAAGUGUGGGUAUCGAACAGGAUUAGAUACCCCUGUAGUC